AGAGUUUGAUCCUGGCUCAGAGCGAACGCUGGCGGCGUACUUAACACAUGCAAGUCGUACGAGGAUCGUCGGGUCAGCAAUAAUUCGGCGGUUCGAGUGGCGCACGGGUGAGUAACACGUGGGUAACCCACCCUUGAGACCGGGAUACCCUCUCGAAAGGGAGGCUAAUACUGGAUACGUUCCCUGGGACGCAAGAUCUGGGGAGGAAAGGUGGCGAAAGCUGCCGCUCUUGGAGGGGCUCGCGGCCUAUCAGCUAGUUGGUGAGGUAACGGCUCACCAAGGCUAUGACGGGUAGCUGGUCUGAGAGGACGACCAGCCACACGGGAACUGAGACACGGUCCCGACUCCUACGGGAGGCAGCAGUGGGGAAUUUUCCGCAAUGGGCGAAAGCCUGACGGAGUGACGCCGCGUGGGGGACGAAGGCCUUCGGGUCGUAAACCCCUGUCAGAGGGAAAGAAGGGUGUCGGCGUGAAUAGCGUCGGCAUUUGACGGUACCUUCAGAGGAAGCCCCGGCCAACUCUGUGCCAGCAGCCGCGGUAAGACAGAGGGGGCAAGCGUUGCUCGGAAUCACUGGGCGUAAAGGGCGCGUAGGCGGGAUGGCAAGUCGGUCGUGAAAUCCUUCGGCUCAACCGAAGAACGUCGGCCGAUACUGCCGUUCUUGAGGGAUGCAGAGGAGAUUGGAAUUCCCGGUGUAGCGGUGAAAUGUGUAGAGAUCGGGAGGAACACCGGUGGCGAAGGCGGGUCUCUGGGCAUCUCCUGACGCUGAGGCGCGAAAGCGUGGGGAGCAAACGGGAUUAGAUACCCCCGUAGUCC
rnacentral:rRNA from 1 species